GACUCAGUGGUUUAAUGGUAAAGCGCUUGUCGCGGAGCAAGAGGGUCCUGUGUUCGAUCCUUGACGGGGUUC
rnacentral:tRNA from 1 species